CGCCUCUUGUCAAAAAAUAAGAGGUCCAGCCUGCCCAGUGACACAUGUUCAACGGCCGCGGUAUCCUAACCGUGCGAAGGUAGCGUAAUCACUUGUUCUUUAAAUGAGGACUAGUAUGAAUGGCAUCACGAGGACUAUACUGUCUCCUUUUUCUAAUCAGUGAAACUAAUCUCCCCGUGAAGAAGCGGGGAUGAAAAUAUAAGACGAGAAGACCCUAUGGAGCUUUAAAUUAUAACUCAAAUGCCCUCUACUCUUUUAACUUCCUAGUAUCAUUUUUUAUUCUGGCAUAAUGAGAUAAAAUUUUAGGUUGGGGUGACCGCGGAGUACAAAAUAACCUCCACAUUGAAACAAGCCUAAAAGCUUCAAGAAAUGAAUUACGAUUCUACUUAUUAAAAAAUUAACAUUUAUUGACCCAAAUUUUUGAUCAACGAACCAAGUUACCCUAGGGAUAACAGCGCAAUCCCCUUCAAGAGUCCCUAUCGCCAAGGGGGUUUACGACCUCGAUGUUGGAUCAGGGUGUCCCAGUGGUGCAGCCGCUACUAAUGGUUCGUUUGUUCAACGAUUAAAACCCUA
rnacentral:rRNA from 1 species